ensembl:lncRNA
AGACCUACACAUAAAAGACAAUAAUUAAGCUAAAUACUGAUUUCCUUUCCAAACGCUAAAAAUCAUACUAGGUUUGAUCUGGUAUUCCUUUCCCUUAAUUUACUAAACAAUAGAAUUAGCGUCAGAAGGAGAAAGAAGAUAAUUGUAAACACCAUUUAGCCUUUUGACAGUAAUCAAAAUAACUAGUUACUUCAGAAAAAAAGACCAAGAGAAAGUGACAAUUGAUUCCAGAAAGAAAUAAGAGAGUUGAGAACGUAUAUUUCAUCAUCUCCCAACUGGAAAGCUGAGAAUAUAUGAAACUUGGAUUUUAAAUUAAUUGCUUUUUCUUAUGUGAACUUACACUACGAGAAGCGAAGUGGAUUCUUUGAAGUUUUACCCUGGUUUAAUUAAUGUGCUUACGGUUCCUUGAAGAAAUGUUUCAAAAGGAAAUAUAAAUGGAAGAUAAGACUGGCAUACCCUCCAGUUAAUGUUGAUUUAAAAAAAAAUGAAGCCGACAACAUUCAUUACUUUCCAAUAUUCUUAGAAACUUGCCACAUUGUUCUCUGUUUUGACCUCCAUGAUGGCAAGACUUUGGAUAGUCUGAUGCGUGUUUCAAUGAUGUUACAUUAACGAAGAGUAACAUCACAGAAAAAUAUACUUCCUUUCUCAUUUCAUUCAUUUUCACUCCCACAUCAGGAUUCAGUUCUAUACAUCUUCACUUAAUUGGAAGCAAUGUUAUUUUUUUAUUUAAUAAAUACUAUUAAAUCAGUUCUGUUAUUAUUACCAAUUUACAGAUAAACAAAGUAAGGUAAGAAAGUACUGGGGUCAGCCUGGUGGCGUAGCAGUUAAGUUUGCACGUUCCACACCUCGGCAGCCCGGGGUUCGCUGGUUCGGAUCCCAGGUGCAAACAUGGCACUGCUUGGCAAGCCAUGCUGUGGUAGGCGUCCCACAUAUAAAGUAGAGGAAGAUGGGCACGGAUGUUAGCUCAGGGCCAGCCUUCCUCAGCAAAAAGAGAAGGAUUGGCAGUAGUUAGCUCAGGGCUAAUCUUCCUCAAAGAAAAAAAAAAAAAGAAGGUGCCUUUUUCAAGAUUUGAUAACUAGUAAAUGGCAGAGGUGAGAUUUGAAAGGUGGUAGUAGUAGCUGCUAGUAUUAUUUUUUUUAAAGAUUUUUGUCAUUAGAAGUUAUUUGCUCCCAAUUCCCUUCAAUUUAUCUUUUUUUUGGAGGGGGGGAAGGUCAUUGGUUUUAUAUCUGUAUUAGCAAUAUAUAGUGAAAUAAUUCAAUCAUUGAAUUGGCUUCUUCCAUACCUUUAAGUGUACAUUUGUUGGUAAAUAAACUAGUUGAUGUUGAUUAAAUCUUCCCGAGGACUAGUUAAGAGUUUUCCUGGUGAUAAGUUGGCACAUAGAGAGCUAAAGGCAGCACCCAUGAAUGGGAGAAUCAUGACACCUAUGAACUGGAGGAUUUAGAAAUUAUCAUUAAAUCAAGGGAAAAAAUAUUUUUAGGAAUGGAAAUCUGCUCUACUUACUAUACUAAUUAAAAGGUGUUCCGACAUAGGCAUUAUACCAAUUCAUUAUCACUUAUAACAUGUGUGUAUGCAUCCUCAUUAAACUUUAAAAUUUCUUAAUAAUUGAAUAUAAAAAUAUGCACUGUGUAUUCAUUUGACUUCAUAAGUGGCAAAAAUAAAAUUCUCAUUUUUACGAAGAUAUAGUUUGUACAUAUCAUGUCCAAAAAACGCCCCAAGAAAUAACUACCCAUAUAUCCACAUAAUUACCUUUUGAAUAUUUUGCUUUAAUUAUGAUACAAUACAAGGAGGCCAAAAAUAGGCUGGGUACGGUUUUUACAUCUCAGUUAUUAGUUGAUAUUUAAUUGUAUUAUAAAAUAAAUUAUGAAAUCCUUGUUGACAAGCUUGAUUUUUUUGUGGACCACAAUGAUCACAAGUUCCCAUACACACAGAUCCUCAGAAACUGUCGAUUUCAUUGGCUGAUAAUACUACAAUAUGAGAAUCAGAGUGAUUUCUCUGAAUACUUAAAUUUUAACUAGAUGAUAUUCCUUUGCAAAGAAACUGAAUCAUUGAAAGAUAACAGCUCCAGAAGCAGCUGUAAGAGUCUUUUAGUCUUUAAGGAAAUGAGCUGUGUUGAGAAGGGGAAACCCAGCUAGAGAUACAAAUAUUCCUUUUAUUAGGAUUUUUCAUUCAUUUAUUCAUACAACAUGUAUUUGUUGAGCAUACAUUAUAUGUCAAUUCCUGUUUUGCAACAGAAACAGGAAUUGGGAGCUAGAUGCAUUAUCAGGGUAAGUUUCACACAGAAUAUCAAUGAAUGGUUUUUGUUGAAUUCAGUUAGCUUUCCAACAAGCUCAUAUGAUAUUUAAAAAGUGUAUUUUUCAUAGAAUGCCAUUCAAAGGGAUUUUUGCUGCCUUUGAUUUGAUUAUUUUUUCUUUUAAGCAAAGCAUAGGAUUAAAAAACCCACCUUACUAGCUCAGUUAAUUUAGUCUAUUGUUUUCAUGCUGGCUCAUUUCUAUUUAAUAUUCCCAGCUAAGUUAUAAGCUUCAUGAGGACAGAAACACUCAUGAAUGUGCUUUUAAGAAGAAUACAGAAAUGUGUAUUCCUGACAUGGAAGGUAGUUGGCGGACUAACCACUCUGAUAGCAGACCGAUUUUUACUACUCCUGGGAGAAGGUAGGUAUUACUAUGAUCAAUGGAUAUACUAUACCUUCUGCUCAUCUUUUCCUGUCAUGAAUUAUUUACCUAAUAGCCAACGCCCAUCAGAGACUGGAAGGGCUACAUCGGGUGAAAGAAAUAUCAGUUAAUUUCACAUUCCUUUUAAAAGACUAUUUGUACAGAUUCAACGCAAUCUCCACCAAAAUACCAAUGGCAUGUUUCAGAGAACUAGAACUAGAAAAAAUCCUAAAAUUUCUAUGGAACCACAAGAGAUCCCAAAUAGCCAAAGCAAUCUUGAGAAAGAAGAACAAAGCUGGAGGUACCAGGCACGCUGAUUUCAAACUAUACUAGAAAGCUAUAGUAGUCAAAACAGUAUGGUACUGGCACAAAAACAGACACAUAGAUCAAUGGAAUAGAAUAGACAGCCCAGAAGUAAACCCACACAUUUAUGGUCAAUUAACCUAUGAUAAAGGAGGCAAGAAUAUACAUGGGGAAAAGACAGUCUCUUCAAUAAAUGGUGCUAGGAAAACUGGAGAGCUACAUGCAAAAGAAUGAAACUGGACCACUAUUUUAUAUCAUAUACAAAAAUAAAUUCAAAAUAGAUUAAAGAUUUGAAUGUAAGACUUGAAAACACAGAAUUCCUAGAAGAAAACAGGCAGUCAGCUCUUUGACAUUAGUCUUAGGAAUAUUUUUUUGGACCAGUCUCGUCAGGCAAGGGAAACAAAAGCAAAAAUAAACAAAUGGGAUUACAUCAAACUAAAAAGCUUUUCCACAGUGAAAGAAACCAUCAACAAAAUGAAAAGGCAACCUACUGAAUGGGAGAAGAUAUUUGCAAAUCAUACAUCUUAUAAGAGAGUUAAUAUCCAAAACACAUAAAGAACUUACACAACCUAAUAUCAAAAAAAGUAAACAACUCAAUUAAAUAAUCAGCAGAGGAAUUUGAAUAGACAUUUUUCCAAAGAAGACAUACAGAUGGCCCAACGGCACAUGAAAAGAUGCUCAGCAUCACUCAUCAUCAGGGAAACGCAAGUCAAAACCACAGUAUGAUAUCACCUCACACCUAUCAAUCAGAAUGGCUAUGAUCAUAAAGACAAAAAAUAUCAAUUGUUGUCAAGAAUGUGGAGAAAAGGGAGCCCUUGUAUGUACACUGUUGGUGGAAAUAUAAGUUGGUGAAGUCACUAAGGAAAACAGUAUGGAGGUUCUUCAAAAAAUUAAAAAUAGAACUACCAUAUGAUCCAGCAAUUUCCCUCCCACGUAUUUAUCCAAAGAAAACAAAAACGCCAAUUCAAAAAGAUAUAGGCACCCCUGUGUUCACUGGAGUGUUAUUUACAAAAGCCAAGAUAUAAGUGUCUAUCUAUCUAGAGGUGAAUGGAUAAAGAAGUUGUGGUAUAGAUACACAGUGAAAUAUUACUCAGCUACAAAAAAGAAUAAAAUCUUGAUAUUUGUAACAAUACGGAGGGACCCAAAGGGUAUUAUGCCGAAUGCAAUGUCAGAUAAAGACAAACACCAUGUAAUUUCACUUACAUGUGGAAUCUAAAGAACAAAGCAAAUGAACAAACAAAAUAAAACAGAAACAGACUCAUCGAUACAGGAAACAAACUGAGGCCAGAUGGGGCAGGGGUUGGGGGAGCAAAUGGAAUUGGUGAAGGGGAUUAAGAGAUAUAAACUUCCAGUGAGAAAAUUAAUGUCAUAGGGAUGCAAUGUACAGCAUAGGGAUAUAGUCAUAUAAUAUAGUCGAUAACAUUGUAAUAACUUUGUAUGGUGACAGAUAGUAACUAACUUAUCAUGGUGAUCAUUUCGCAAGGAAUCACUAUAAUGGACAUCUGAAACUAAUAGGAUAUUAUAUGUCAGUUAUACUUCAAUACAAAAAAAGACUAUUUGGUUUUGUUUUGCAAUAAAAACAAUGCAAAAGAAAGGGGCAAUGUGCAUUUUUUUAGUCCUUUAUGGCUUGAAUUUUAUUUAAUUUUUUAACCCAACUCAAAUGACAAAUUAGUCAUGUAUCAGAAUAGAAUAUUAAUUUCUACGAAUGGGCAUCAGGGUGUACAAUGAAUAAGGAAUAAAUAGUUCUAACAGGACAGGAGAACAACAUCUUCUAUAUACGUCAAUUUUCUUAUUGGGUUUGGGUAUUGUUGUGGUCCCUAUUGGCCAGAACUGCCAUUUAGUGCUCCAUAAACUAGCACUUCUUACAAACAAGACAAGGAAAAAUCAAAGAAAUAUCAGAUACAAAAGAUAUCUCUCCCUUCAAAAGAAGACAUUGAUAAAUUAUAUUCAUAACCGUGAUUACAGCAAAACGGCUACUAUAGACGGCAAGUUCUGUGCUUUUAAAACAUGUUAUAAUUGGAGAGAAAUUUUGUACUUUAUCACUUCACAAUAAGUCUAGACGAAAUAAAAACAUAUUUAGUUCUUUCUGUUGUUCAUCGUAGUUAAAUAAUUCAUUUUCUCUUAAAAAACUAUAAUACUGGGAAGAAAUAACCACCUAUUAAUGUACUGUUUCUUGUUCUAUAUGCAACUCAUGAACGAAAAGAUAGCGUUUUCAGAAUAUAGAGAUCAUAGUUCCAAAAUAAAUUACUGUUAAUAAAAAAGUCAUAUUUAUUGUUGUUUUCUCCUGGAGAUCAUCAUACACCCUCCAAAAAUAACCUGAGAUUUAGACUAUUCUAGACGGAAAUCCCAAAGCAUAAAAUACUUUCCAGGAAUAAAGUUAUCUUAGUAAUGUACACAUAUACUACCUAUAUUCUACCAAAAAUAUAUACUACUACUACUAAUAAAUAUAUGCAUAUAUUCUACCAUAUUUUUACUUGUAUCUCUGCAAGGCAUGCUAUUUUUGUGAAUUAUAAUGCUUAUUUCCAAUGAUCACGGUCACUUUUUAUAGCAGCUAUAUUAAAGCAAGCAAACACAGAAUUGCAAGAAAACAGAAAUAAGGACUAAUGAACUGAGUACUAUGAAAUCUUUAACAUAAGACGAAAUUGCUUAAAUAGUACAGCAAGAAGAAUAUACGUGUUAACUGAGGUGUAAAAAAAAAAUGAAAAUGCUUCUAGUGAAAAGUUCAAUGGAUUCUUCAUGAGGAAAUGGCCAUAAAGUUAACAUAUUUAGACAAGGACUCCUAAGUGGAGGCCCUUUAAAGAUAUCCUGAAGUAAUUCUACAGUUGUUUCCUUCCUGAUCACUACCUAUUUCUGAUGAACUCAAUGUAAAUAAACACUUGCUUUUUUAAGAUCAGCUUCUUCCUCUCAGGUGAUUCCUUCUGCUGUUCUCCCAUCCAAGCUGUGAACCUGAUCUUCUCCACAGUGAGACCAGAACAACUCCAUCCAUUUUCAUGGGUCAGUAAAGGCCAAUUGCUACAAGGUGACAUCCUGAGUUAAAGAGGACGAUACUUCGAAGUCAACCAUAUUUUUGCAAAGCCAAAGAUACACAGCAUAGAAGUAUGACAAACCAGUAUUUUCUAAAAGUCAACAUUAGCUUGUUUAUCCGGAGGCCUUGAGACAUUGCACACAUUUAAAAAUGUAUUUGAAAACCUAAGAUAAUUAUGGGAAAAAAGCAUUGCAGAAAGUUGGUCUUCUCUUCCCAUGAGAUGCAAAUACAUCUAAUGAAGCAGAAGCGCAGCAGUGGAAUUUCGUCGUGUCCGUUACAUGUUUGAAUUGUGAACCGGCCAUCUAUGAAUUCGUCUGAGAGGGAAGCUUACUGCCAGCCGGUGUCAGCAACAGAAUCAUUAUCGGGCAUUGUAUAGUUGUCAAAAAUAAUAACAAGCAUCAUUGACCUUGGCCAAAUUUUAACUGGUGAUUAAAAAAAAAAAACUAGAAAGUGGUAUUACUGCUUUUAAGGGUUAUAAUGUCUUUAAAAUAUAACCCGCAGGAAAUUUGUAAAAACAAAUUGUUUAUUAUAAAUAAUAAAUUGUUGAUAAAUUUCCAGAUCAUAGGAGGAUUUCAUAGGGCAAUAAAUAUAAAUAAAAUCAGUUUUCUUUAAAAAAAAAUUUUGGAAUAUUGUAGUAAGCCACUUGUUUACCCUGUACCUCUUAUAUGGGGUUCCGUUAUUUACAGAGAUAUAGUUUCUUGUAAUAAAAGACAAUAGAGUUAGAAUGGGAAAAAAAUCCCAAUACAGGUCAUAGAUCAGUCUUUACUAGCUAUAGAAUAUAAUUUCAUCACUGUUUGGGGUGAGGACGUCUGGUAUUUUCUCCCUCCCAGAGUUAGUGCGUGUAUUAUGUGAAAGACCUUUGUAAAUUACAUUUUAAUAUACUACUUUAAUGUUAUUUAUUUUAUUUAAAGCAGUUGCUUAUUAGCAAGUAUAAAUAAUACCCAGAUGACAACCCUAGACUGUUCAUCAAUAUAGCCAAUGUAAUAAAUAUAUUUAUUAGCCCUUGGGGGGUGCACUCAAAAGAACCUUGUAAAUAACUCAAUAGGUGAGUUGGUUAAUAGCAUCUAAAUAACUUAAUUUCAUCUUAUUUUUUUAUACAAUAAAGACCAUUUCCAUUUUUAUAAGUAAGAUUUGUGUUCUCCUGAUAGGGUAAAUCAUCUUAAAUUUCAAUACAGAGUCAUAGGAACUGUGAAACCGUCAAAAAUAACGUAGAAAAUGAUAAAAAUCUCUCUAAAACUAUUUCCAUUACUCCCAAACAAAUCUUUACCCUUAUUGUCAAAAUAUUGGAUCCACUUUGCCUAUAUGUGAAAUUAUGAGGUUAAAUCUGUUCAGAAUCAUUCCAACUUAUUCCGUGUCAAAGACGAUCACUUAAUUUAUUUUGUUUUACACCAGAAAAUUUCAGCAAUCCACAAGGACUUUAACAAAAUUUUGAUAAUUGAGCUAAAAAAGAUGUAUUUGGGCCCACCUACAAUUAUAGUUACACAUGUGUAAUAAAUAACAAAAGCAAAGGAAUAAUGGUUAAAAGUUUCAAUAUUUUACAACUACUUCUUCAGCAUCUCUUAGAAUAAUACAUACUAAUUCCCAUUUUCAGAAAAUAUUUCCAAUUAACUCGGCAAUAUUGAGUCUUCGAUUCACAUGGUUCAAAGACGCAAGAGUCAGUUAUCAUAUAAAGCAAGCACCGCUUUUAACAGUUUAAUUAAGUUGACCCUAUUUUCAUAUUCCAUCUAUUAGAGAGAGAAAUUGACUACUACCUUUUUAGUACCAGAUCUACAUUUAAAAAAUUAUGUAAAAAGAUAACAGGAAACAACCUAAAAGCGUAAAAUGGAUACAUAAACUAUGCUAUAUUCACAAAAAGAAAUAUUACACCACAAUUAAAAAGAACAAUCUACUGAUAUAUGCAAAUGGAGAAAUCACAUGGACAAAAUGUUGAGUAACAUAAGACAGACAAAAGUGCAAUACACACUGUGUCAUUCUAUUUAUAUGAAAUAGAAAACUGCUAAACCUGACCUGUAGUAUAGCUAUCAGUAGGGCAUAGAUAGUCUUCUGGGGUGCUGGAAAUUUCUAUAUCCUGAUCUGUGAGAUCACGAUAUGGAUAUAUGCAUAUAUACACAUAUGUUCAUACAGCUUUAUGCUUAAGAAUCAUGCAUGUUAAAUAUCUCCAUUAGAAAAAAAGCCUUUUAGGGGCCAGCCUGGUGGCGUAGCGGUUAAGUUCGCACGUUCUGCUUCAGCGGCCCGGGGUUUGCCGGUUCGGAUCCCGGGUGUGGACAUGGUAUUGCUUGGCAAGUCAUACUGUGGUAGGCAUCCCACAUAUAAAGUAGAGGAAGAUGGUCAUGGAUGUUAGCUCAGGGCCAGUCUUCCUCAGCAAAAAGAGAAGGAUUGGCAGCAGUUAGCUCAGGGCUAAUCUUCCUCAAAAAAAAAAAAAAGAGCCCUUUAAUCUCAUAAAGAAAAAAAAUCCACAGGACUAACCAAUUUUUCAGAAAGGAUGCUAAGCAGACAUUUCAACAAAACUCAUUAAGGAAUUAGAGUGCCCUGGAGUAUAAAUCAAGGAUGAAAUGAUAAACUAGAAACUUUUAAUAAUGUGACUUUACAGAGACAAUAAUUCAUGCGCAAGUUUAUAUUCAAUUAUGUACACUUUUUAUUAGUCUUUUCUAUAUUUAACUAUGAAGCUAAAUCCCCCGUCUAUUAUGUUUCCAUACCACUAAAGUUUAAAAAAAAAGAAAAAUAGAAUAUUUGCUAGCUGGAUAUAAAUGACUACAGGGUAGAGGAAGGAAUACGAAACUGGAAGGAAGACGUGUAUUCAGAGCCAACUCUCCAGGCGCUAGUGUUAUUACCAUGAGCAGAAAGGCCAUUUUUUUCCCUCUAAGUCACCAUUUUCUCCUGCAUAAAAUAAUGGAGUUAAAGAAAUAAGAUUGAAUGGUCACAGCUCUAAAAGCCAAUGAAUCAAAUAUCUGAGGGCUGGAAAAGUGAUAUUGAACCAAAGUUUCAGUGUUCAUCAAGAUAUUUUGUUCAUAAUAUCCAGCAUUACCUGAAACUUAAUUGAAAUAAAAUAAACAAGUUUAUAAAAAUGCAUUUUAUGCCCAUUGCCUUGUUUCUUUUAAGUGUUAGUCAUAUCAACAGAGGUUAGAAAUCCUAAUGUUUAAAACAGUUACCAACAAUUGGUCUAUAAUACAUUCCAAGUUUCUUUCUACACAGCAUGUGAUGUGGACAGAUUGUGAAUCUUAAAGGAAAAGAAAGGUAUCUAGUGGGAAACAUCUACUUCAGAACAAUGAAGCACUUUGGGAAGAAUUCUGAGCCUUUCCAUAAGAGAGCACUGCUUGGGACCUCUGGAUGGUACCAGUGGCCACAGUGAAAAAUCACUGCGCUUCUCCAAUUCGUGCAUCUCUUUGGUUUUAGUAACAUAUAUGUUAGUAAAACAAGCUAGUGAAAUAUCCUGACUGAUGUUUCAUUGCACUAUUUCCCUAUAGUGCUAUUCCACAGCUCUUAAUACUUUAAACCACUGAUGUGCAAAACAUCCUCACAUUAGAAACACAAUCAUUGGCCAUAUAUAUUAUUUUUUUUCUGGAGAAAAACUGUUUAUGCCAAGUGUUUCAUUGGUGACUGGCUAUUGCUUAACUUAGAACAAUAUUAAAAGUACCUCAAAUAUGAAAAUACUUACUAUAUAAAAGGCCUGCAUCUCCCACUACUCACCAUCACCAUCUAAGGCCACAUUGAAUAUUUUUAGAACAGUUUCUUCAAUUGUUUAAAAAAAAGCAUUUAAAUCAGAGGGCUAUAUUUAAUGUUCCUCACACUCUCAAGGUCGAGAUCAUUAAAUAUGUAGUGGAACGGAUAACAGCAUGGGCUAGAAGCACCAUUAACACAGCUUCAAAUCCCGACAUUGACACUUACUAGCUCUGGAAUUCUGCGAAAGUUACUUAAACACUUUGAGCCUCCCAACUGUACAACAGGGAUAACCGUUCCCACCUUUGAUGGUGAUUGGAAGGAUUAAGUGAGAUGAGAUAUAUGAAGAAGUCUGCAUGGGCCCUGAACCGUUGCAUCAAUGAGUGGUCAUGUAUAGCAUUUUCAAUACCAAGAGUCAAUCACUUGAAAAAAUGUUGUAGACAGGAUAGAUAAAAGGGUUCCAUCACCACACUUGUAACCAAUAAGUCAGUUUCCUAAUUCCCUCCAAGGUCAAAUUUUUGGAAUUCUUUUUAGCAAUACUGUAAGAAAAGAAAACUAUUGUUGAAAUACUGAUGGAUUGAUUAUAAUAAAUCUCUGAUCUUACACAGGGUAAAAGCUCUUUAAUUUCCUGGUCCAAUGCAACCCUUCACCCUCCCCUUCCACUCAGUCCUUUAACCAUCAACAUGCCUUCCCAGAAGGGUUUUAGAAAAACUUGACUAUGUCUAGCUGUAAAGAGAAGAAGUCUACGUCAAACCCAAGGAGACUCGGUCAAGAACAAUCCUUACCUAAUGGGAUAAUAUUAAUGACAGUAGCUUAUGGCUAUUGAGUACAUAGGUAGCUCCAAGUAAAACGCAUGGAUUAAAAAAAAAGCUGAUUUUCCAGAAAUGUAGGUUCAUGGUCAUGGCUUAUAAUCAAUGCACAAAAACAGUUUACCAGUAUUCCCUAUUUUUACCAAUGUACCUACAUCUUACUCUUGAUAUUUUCCUUAUAAUUAGACAACAUAGAAACAAAAAGAUCACUUACACACACACACACACCAUCUUGCGAACAUGCACACACACAUACAUACACUUUUUCCAGCUACAGCUGAAUCAUUUUGCAUGAUGUCAGGGAGUACGUAAUACAAAUUGUAUAAGGGCAUAGAGUGCACAAAAUAGAUCUGCACACUUAAUAAUCAGUUUUCACAAACCUGCUGUAAGUUUUGGUCUGGUUGUAAUUUCCAAUACCUAAAUGGUUCUGCCACCCAAACAGAAAUCGUCCCAGGUACUCAUAAGUAUUAAUUCCAUUCAUCUAGUAAACGUGGUAAUGAUGCUUCCAAACCAAUUUACAAACCAUUAAAAUGUAGUGACUGGUAAACCCAUUAUAAUUUAGCUUAUUUCUGUGAAAUUUAGUUUGAAGAAAACAGCUGUGCAUUUGCACAUCUGUAAAUUACUUUUAAUUGCACUUUUCUCAAGUGAGAAAGGAGAAGCUCUACCUGCAAUGCAAUUGUGUGUAUCUGACCACACGAAUGCUACUCAACACCUGUGCUUUAUAUAUAAUCUCAUUUUGGGCUACAUAAUCUCAUCUGGCUAUUAAUCCAGACUUUUAUGUGAUUGAGCUACUGCAAGUUUGAUCUUGAGCAAGAUUUAAGAUGGAAACUGGAAACUGUAAGAUGUUUGAUUACUAAGUUAUUUACUUAUCUAAGAGGAGAGAACAAAUUUCAGAGUAGACAUGGUUAAUUCUGAAAAUGAAAAAUAUGUAAAUACUAUUAAUUCAUAUUUAAUGAUUUGGGUAUUGAAAAUUAAAACAAAUUCCAGAUAUGAGGUAGCCUCCCAGCUUACUUUUUAUCUAAGACCUAUUCGUUCAAUAAAUAGUGCUUCAUCUUAUAUCAGGCAGUUUGAACUACUGACUACCAAAGUCAAUUACUGCCUUCUGCUUACAAAUAGCAGUUUCCAAAUUUAAUUUGUUGGCAAAAAAAUUAUGUGAAUAGAAAAAUGUUAUCAUUCUAUAAAUAUUCUGAACUGAUUAUUGCUCUGUUUUAUCUGCCAAAAUUACAAAUCAUUCUUUGUUUCUAUAUCCUUGUUGUUUCAUUUCCUGACAAUCGAAACAUGUUUUAGAAAUAGCUAAAUCAGAGAGUAGGAAUUUUCUAUGCAUCAAGCUUUUUGAAUGCCAAGGCACCUGAAUGUAUCUGAAACUGACUGUUGGUAAAAAAAAAUCUCUCUAGAGAAUAUUUCUGAAUGGGUCCUAGGAAUGGAGAGGAAAGAACAUGUGAUCAGGUUAGAAUCCCACAGAAAAAGCCAUGUUAAUAUACAUAUAAUUUUCAAAAAUUGCUCACUAGCAGAAAACUCACAUCUAAAUCAUUAUACCACACGGAGCAUAUAAUAGAAAAAUUUUAAAAGGAAUGCUUUUAAAAAGUAAUUUGCAGAUGAUAUCGCAACUAGAAUUAUAAUAAAUUUAAUCUCACAAGUUUAAUUUCAGGACAAUUGCUUCUAUCAUUGCUUAAAUAUUUUGGACAUGUCAUAUAUAUUAAUACAUACUAUUCUGAGUACAAAACAGUUUAUUAACUCACAAGUAGAAUACGCAUGUUGGACAGUUUUUAGCAACUCAACAUUUCACGCACAAUUGUCUUCAUUCUUUAGGAAAAUACCCAGGUUUAGGGAAGAAUGAAAAACUAGUUAUUCUUGCUAAGGCUGAGUUAGCUUCAUUAUUACGCUGAUUCGGCCAAAUGACUGAGCUGACCUACCCAAACUGUGAUUUUUUAAAAAAUCAGGAUACAGAGAAGAACAUUGCCUCUGCCCAGGAAACCCCAAUCACGGACCCUUCAGCGAACAAGAAUGAGUAUGUUCUGUUGCAACUUCUCUCUCUAUAAAAAUUUCUGAGAUUAGUGAUAUGGGGCUUUGAGGCAAGACUAGGGGAUUUAAAUAUGGGACAUGAUUGCAAAACACCAUAAAUCAUACAGACUGGACCCAAACCAUCGCUUGGCCACCACUUUUUCAGCAGUUCUAAAGUGAAGAGUCAAUGAAGGCUUCUCUCAGAACCCACUGUCGAUCUUUCUAGUUGUUGCUUAUGUAUGAAUAGCAAGCUGUAAUUGGUUGCUAUAAAAAUAUACCAUGUCAUUAAUCUCAAUCUGAAUUCCUAUUUUAGUUUUUCAACUGAAGUUCACAGAAAACCCAUGUAUUCCUCACAUUCGUAUAAACGUUCAAAAAACACAAUCACUUCUUUCAAAAUCUCUGCAAAUAAAAGUAGUUGAUAACCACAGGAGAGAAAAUUUUUUGGAAAUAUUUUCCAGCACCCUCCGCUACACGUGUUGAUCCCUUAUGUUAAUGGGAGAAAUGGAAAGUAAGGCACCACUUAGUCUCAAUGGUAUUUUUAAAGAGAGCUAUCAUGUCAUAUUUCAAUAACAGCCAAGUGGAGGCAAUUAUAAAAUUAACAAAUAUUAACAGUUUUUAAGCAAAUGAUGGCAUUCCAGAUUUUCCAUAAAUUAGUAAGUCUUUAAAACCAAUAAUAAUCAAAUAUUUAGGAUUAUGACAUAAACAUGUAAAUAGCCACUAACUUAUGCCGAAUAUUCAGUGCUUUAAAUUAUCCAAAUCAUCAGAUUUGAUAUGAUCCUCUAUACUGAUUCAUACAUAUAGACUAGCUUUCAAUAAAAAACUCAAAAUUUUUGUUUAUUCAGAGCAAUAUGGAAUAAGAGUAAACAUACAGCCUACUGCUACGAUUUCCAGCCUAACGUUCACAAGAAGGAUGUCUCAGGAGGUGGGCAGAGCCUCAGGUCAACAAACAUACCUGAACACAUAACCAAGAGAAAGCUCAGAGUUUUUUCAGAAAAAAUUUCGGCACCAAAAAUGAGGGCCCUGUGCUGAUCCCAACUUUCAAAGAAGAAUAUACACCUAGACAUAAAUCGCCACUGUUGAACCGCGUAACAGGUCAGGUUGCUUGUAAAAUAAAUCCUACCAUGUUUAAAAACUAUAUCAAACAGCAAUAUUUACUUUAUGAUAAUUUAAUAAUUAAACCAAUAUUAAAAAACAUGCAACAAGUGCAAAUCAACUGUUCUUUUAUAUAAAAAAGAAAAUCAGAGAGCACUAUUGUUUGUUUUUUAUUCAAUAUUAACUGUAUUUAAGUCAAAGCACAACAUUUCAAAAACUACUUAGUUAUCUCACUUAUAGUUACAUGUUGGCUGCUUGGAAAUAUGACGGUUGUUUAUCUCACAAAAGAAUUAAAAUACUGUAGUUAAUUCUAAGGGAAAAGUCCUAUGAAUGCAUUGAGAACUGUAAUUAAUUUUUUAAUGUUUAAGACUUACUGUAUUAAUGAAAUGACAAAAUAGCAUUAUCGGCAGUUUACAUGAAAAAUGUCUCCUUUUAUUUUAGCAUAUACUUUCUCCAAAGCAACAAAGGUUGGUAUCUCACGUGCUACACUUAUCUACUUUAGUUACUGCAAAUCUGAGCUCACCCCACAUGUACUAAUCUUUUACGGCAGAGGUCACUGAAUUUGUGCCAAAAUUCAAUAAUUAAGUUCUAUCUAAUGCAGCAAUACGUUUAUCUCAUUGCUGGAAUUUAGACCAUUUAGAAGAAAGCAUUUCAUUUAAAUGAUGAAACGCUCAUCAAAAAUGCCCUAUGGUAAACACUUCUCACAUUUUAAAAAUUGUGGAUAAAAUACUGCUGCUUUAAAACUUUCUUUUCAAUACUGAAUUGUAGUCGAUAUUUAGUUAUUUAAUAUCUCUUUUAAUUGGGGAAAAGAAAGCAUUUUAUGUGCCUGUUGCAUAAUUGAAACAAAAACCCUGUCACACUUAAAAUGGUAAAGGCUCAUAAUCUAAAUUGACAACUACAAAUUAAUUUCACUUUUUCUAAGGAGGGAAGAAGUUUCUACAUUGUAAUGGAAUAGGCUGUGAUAUUUCCAAAAGGAUGGGAAAAAUGAUAAAUGAAGCAAAUUAUUCAAGUUGUUUUUCACCAAUAGAAUUUAACAAAAAUAUUAAAAUAUUUUUCUUUUUAAAGGUAACUAUAUUCUGAAUAUUGUUUUUAAAAUGUCAACUCAAUGAACAAAAUGUAAUCAGUGUUUGCAUUUAUGAUCCCAAGGAAAAUUAGCUAAUAAUUCUUCCAAAAAACUUACACUAUUGUAAUACUCAAUUAAAAUUCGUAGCUAUAGCAAAAGAAAGUAAAUACCUUAGCUGGCUUUUUCAGUAAAAAGUAUAACUUAAAUUUUUCACAAUACCUAGUUUCUACCUCAACUCAAAAAUAUUUGUCAAUAAUUGUGUACCACUAAGUUUCUUCUGAACUCAUAAACUCACAUACUUGCACACUCCAAAAGUUCUAUAUUUUAUGGCACUUACUUUGCUAUGGCCUCUAAAUUACCAAAAAAAAAACUCAAAACCUAAAAUUUUCCGUUAAAACAUUUCUCAGUAUAGUUUAGAGAAAUAUUCUACCAGUUUCAAAUAAGUAAAAUGAUUGAAAAAUCAAAACAUGGAAACAGAAGAUAAUAUGUGUAUGAGUUAAGAUUGAAAAAAUAGAAUUCAAAAAUAAUUUUUUUAGCAAGAAUUAUGCUGAAUUAGACAAGCUAUCUUAUUUUUCUGCACCUGUUUGAUGAUAGUGAAUGAUAAAAUGUUCCCGUUUUUAGCCAAUUUUGAAAUAUCUCUCUUACACAUUACUCUUUUUUAAAAAAUAUCAAAGAUUACAUUAAAUGAGAAUUCAACUGUGAGUUCACAUAGAAGUAAAGAACUUAUCCAGAUAAAUUUCUAUAAGUAGCAGAUAUGUAUUGCCCUUUCCCAAUUUAUAACAUCUAUGUCUUUUAAUGUUAACUGAUGUGAUCAUUUCAAUCACUCCAUACCUCAAUGCAACUAAUAGUAAGGUAUAUACAGUAUCAUAAUUCAGUCCACAUUAAUGCCCAAAAAAUAUUUUAUAUAUAAGACAUUAUACAAUACAUAAGUUGAUCUGAAGGAAAUCAAGAUGCAUUUUCUAAUGCAAAAAUUUACUUAAUUUUCACUUUUUUCUAUGGUCCAAAUUAGCAACAUUUUACACUGUGUAAUAAUAAAGGGAAGAUAAACAGUGCUAAAACUAAGAAAAACAGACUGACUAAGAAAGCUCUAAACCAUGUUUCUUUAACGGAAAAUAAAUAAAUCAGAUUCUCAUCAAAAUUUUAAAAAGAAAUAUGAUUAUUUCAAAGUAAAAAAUAAAGUUUCACUUUAGAUUACUACAGACUAACAUAUAAGGCAAAAUAGUAUUCAGGAUAGUGAUAAUACAAUUUCUUAAAAAGAAAACAGAGCCACCGGGAUCCAACUUUACUCCUUUUAAAUACUCUAUUUUUAACGACGAAAAAGAUAUUGCUGAAAAUGGCUAUAUAAAAUCUGAAGUUGUUAAUAUCUGAUUACUAUAGUAUUUCAUUGCAACUUGUGAUUUUAACUCUUAAAAUACUGGAAUAUAAAAUAACGUAUCGGCUUACAAGACAAAAUUCAGUUACAGUAAAAUCAAAAUCAACAGUUCCAAAAAUCGAGUGGAAGUGCCUUUUAGCUGCAGAAUUUCUUUCCUGGAAAAUCAUCUUUUUUCUUGCAAAACAGCAAUUAAAUAUAAUUAUUUAAAGUUAUUGUCAUGUUUAUAUACCAAACAUUUCUAUUAAAACAUUUGUUAGAAACAAUAUCAAGGUGCUAAUAAAUUUUCAAAAGUGUAUAAUAAAUGUUACCAUUUUUUUAGAAUCCCAAACACCAUGAUAUUUCAAAUCCGCAAAAAUCUCACUUAAAAAAUGUUAAGCUUAAUUGUGUGCACAACGAAACUUCUAGAAAACUCCAUUACUUACUGUUCACUGAGUAUUACUUACAGAGAUUAACAGUUUUAAGAAUUCAUCUGUUAUUUAUCCUGAAGUGUUUUGAAUAACCCUUUCGUACAGUAUACUUCUCAAUGAGAUGACCACCCCUACUCUGGUCUGCUGAGAAAAACAAAAAAAUCGGUAAAUCUUCUUUAAGGCUGUUCUUGUUCUAAUGUCUUUUAGGUGGCCACAAGCAGGAAUUCAUAAUGAUAAAAGCAACAAUACGAGGAAAAAUUUUUUUAAAUGCUUGUUUCAUAUUUACUGUAUAAAGUCAUUUUGACAUGCCUGCACAACUGGUUGUGGCAGAUUUCAGACAUGAUUUCUAAUCAAAAAAAAAAAAAAAAAAUUGCUCCAGGUUCUUUAGAGAAAGCUUGCCGCGGGAAGUUGAUUUUGGCCAAGUGCCAAAAUCAUGUGCAAAGGGGCCUCAUUAGGGAUUCAUGGCAGCCUUCAGCACUAACAAAAAAUGUGACCCAACAGGCUAAAUCAGAGACUAAAAUUAAAAAGUAAGAGACAAAGACAACUUACUUAAUAUUCCUUCCGAAGCAACAUUAAACUUUUUUUGGUAAUUAAACCCUUGUUAGUCUAAUGCAGUGUUCCUCUGUCCUCAAAUGAUUGUACAAUUACUCUUUAAAACUUGUCAAUUUCCCUUCUAAAUACACUUUCUUUCUGUGGCAGUUUACAAAGAUUUUGCUAUAUAAUAAAACUCUAUAUCCACUAUCAUCAGUUCAAUAGCAGAAAACAAAAUCGUAAAAAUGCACACUACAGUAUUCCCUUAAGAUUUAAACAAACAAACAAAAAAAUAAGCAAACAGUCGUCAGUACCUUUUAAACUUCUCCGAAAGUGAACAUGCACACUUCCAGACUCACGUCCACUGUGACGAAUCACUCUCGCUGCCCAACUUUUCCCCAAAAAAGUAGAUUUGAUACGUAGCCUUACCUAGAUGUCUUCUGGCUUUUCUGCAGAUCAAAAAGUUUCCUGCCCAAGCACACAGAUAUUCUUUCACAAACCAUAAAGACCCUUUUAUGAAUCCAGCACUGUAACAGGCUGCUUUCCACACCACGUCGAGAGCCCAGUGCGUCAGCUCUCAAGAUAAAAUACAUUGCUAAUACACAAUUAGUGGGAGAGGUUGUCUACUGGAGAAUUUAUCUUAACGAAAGAAGGAAAAAGAAGCUUUUUUUUUUUUUUUUUUUGAAAAAGCAGAGAGGGUGCGGUCAGAUGUUAGGUUUUGCCUGAGAAAAGGGCCUUCCACUGCACUAGUACCUAAAUACUAGCAGAAGCUGCCUGGGAAGAGAGCCAAUGGAAGGACUUUGUUUGACCCAGCUGCCAAUCUCCCCUGAAGCCGUGCGCCAGACUAAACACUCACACUAUUUUAACUCAAAUCAGGCUACAGCAGCUGUUUGCUUUCCGGCUCUGAGCUCUGCACCCACGAUGGCCUGUGCCGUUUACCCAGCGAGCUCUGCUAGCUGCCUGGCUGGAAUCUGUUCCGGGUUGGGAGUUGUCAUUGGAGAGCACGUUUUAACCCUCUUCCUCGUGGUAAAUGUGGACCGUUUGUUGUUCGGCAUUUGGAUCGGGAACAAGGCCCGUACCACGCACCUCUAAGAACAAAGAUGGUACCUAUUCACCCUGACCCAGACUUCUUCGACCCCAGCAAGAUGGAAAGUUGGCAUCAGAGGAGCGGAGAGACUCACGUCAUUCUAAGAGUCAGUACUGACUGCUUAAUGCUCCCGCGAGUUCCUCCAGAAGCAACACCCAAGCACGCAAGUGUUGGAUUUUGUCCAAGAGACCAUGUAAUUUAUGAAGGAAGUGUACGUCAUUCACAUUUUCCAGAAAAGAGGACAAAAAACAGCAGAGAGAGUCUAGGACACACUGACUCCAGUACACAUGAGGACAUCCAGCACCCAGCUCUUAGUUUCUGUUACUGUUCUCCAAUAAAAGGAACUAGAACUCCUUGGGGAAAUGCCUGAUUCUAGGUCUUGGCAGGAAAUACGCAAAAUGGGCCUGGAGCAUCUUAUAGUGCCAAAAUGUAAGGAAGUGCCAAAAAAUAAAAAGCAAACAAUUAUGAAGAUAUAUCAAAGGGAGACAGGAGACAACUGGAAGAGGUUCUAACGGCUAAAGUCGGAAGAAUUUGAACAACAAAAUAAAGUAGUAUUGGAUUAUAACCCAAAGAAAAAAAUAAAUAUCCAUGAGUACAUACUGAUAUAAAUUAAUAAUUUAAUAUAGAAAUAACUUGGAGAAAAUAGACAAUUAUCCCAUGCAGAAGAAUCUCAAAUAAUUUAUUGGAAUAUAUAUAUAUUCCAUUCUUAAGCAGGUGGAACAUACAUGCCCACCUCUCAAGUAUGGGCUAAGCAUGGUGACUUCCUUCCAAAGAGUGCAAUAUUGAAAGAGAGAGGGAAUGAAGAGUAAAUUUACAGCAGAUAAAGCUGACAAACACUUCCCCAAGCCAGGUGAUCAAGGUUAACAUCAUGCCAACUGGAGUCAGAAGAGAUCUCACGACAUCUCCACAUUUCCUGAGUAAAACACUGAGACGAGUGGAAAAAUGUGGAACACAAAUAUAUAAUGGAGGAAAACAGUUCUCAACAACAACAACGAAAAAUAAAAGACUUUAGUGGGCAGAUCAAAAAGAUUUAUUUUGUUCCAGGAAAGAAGGGGAAAAAAAAGAAAUCAUGAAAGAGAAAUUGAUCAACAGAAAGAAUUAAAAGUGAAAAGAUAAUUCAUGCAUAAUUAAUGUUCAUGAAAUAUCAGAACAAAUAAAAAAAUCAAAGAUAUCAAAGACAGAAUAGAAAAGACCUUUCUCAAACCUAAUGCCAAAGUAAAUAAUUCGUCAUUGCUUGGCAAAAUUGAUGGGGGAAGAUCCAGACCUAGAUAACUCUAGCAAAAAAGUUUUAAUUAUAAUUUUAAAGGACAAAUCUUACCACCAUCAAAACAGAAAAAAUAAGUGUGUGUGUGUUUACCCACAUAGGAAUAAAAAUGGGCUGUCCACAUCAUUUCUCUACAAUAUAAAAAUGAACAAUAUCUACAUAACAUUGGAGUAAAUUAGUUUUUGAAUAAAAGGAUUUAGGUCCAACCAUAGAGAUCAGAGGUGAACUAUGAUUGCCUUAGGCCAAUAGAAUUAGGUGAAAAUCAAAUAUAAGCCGAUCAAUGUACUACAUUCCUCCAACCACAGAUAUCGGUUCAGAGUGGUCUGGACUACAUGACCAUAAUUGAUCUGGUUUUUCAUGUUAAAAGGAGGCACCUAUAUAUGGGAGUCACCUUUUUGUAACUAUGACAGAACCAAGCUUUAGGGAUAAAACUGACAUCACAGAAGGCAGUGAAGAGACAGGAGAUAACUAGCAUCUUGAUGACUAAUUAAAACACAGAUUUAUCCUACCCUACCGAUGACAGCUUUCAGUUACAUGAGCCAGUAAAUUUCCUUAUUGUCUAAGCCAUUUGAGUUUAUUUUUCUUUUACAUGACAUGGAAAGUAUUCUAAUUGAAAGGCUAGCCAAGGGUCCGGCCCUGUGGCCAAAUAGUUAAGUUUCUGCACUCCACUUCGGCCAUCUAGGGUUUCACUGGUUCAGAUCCUGGGCACGGACAUGGCACUGCUCGUCAGGCCACGCUGAGGUGGUGUCCCACAUGCCACAAC